CCUACGGGUGGCUGCAGUGGGGAAUAUUGCACAAUGGGGGCAACCCUGAUGCAGCAACGCAGCGUGAGUGAUGACGUAUCUCGGUAUGUAAAGCUCUAUUUGCAGGGAAGUAGAUGACGGUACCUGAAUAAGAAGCCCCGGCUAACUACGUGCCAGCAGCCGCGGUAAUACGGAGGGAGCAAGCGUUAUCCGGAUUUACUGGGUGUAAAGGGAGCGCAGACGGCAGUGCAAGUCUGGAGUGAAAGCCUGGGGCCCAACCGCGGAACUGCCCUGGAAACUGUGCGGCUAGAGUACUGGAGGGGCAGGCGGAAUUCCUGGUGUAGCGGGGAAAUGCGUAGAUAUUAGGAGGAACACCGGUGGCGAAGGCAGCCUGCUAGACAGUAACUGACGUUGAGGCUCGAAAGCGUGGGGAGCAAACAGGAUUAGAUACCCUGGUAGUC
rnacentral:rRNA from 1 species